UCAGGUAGGGAUACCCGCUGAACUUAAGCAUAUCAAUAAGCGGGAGGAAAGG
rnacentral:rRNA from 1 species